UUUAUAUAUGGAUCUUGAUUCAUUUUCAUGUAUAAUAUCAUAUAAUCAUUAUUUGUAUUAUUGAUUUCUAACAGUUAUUUUUUUUCAAUUUAAAAUUUCUCUCUGAAAUUUAGCUUUUUUUUUUAGUUUAGUCCGUUUGUUUCUAUUGAUAUUGUGGGGCUGUCUCCUACCUUUCUGAGUGGGGGACAAUCGUCCACUUCCCUGUCCAGAAAGUUUGCGAUGCUUCAUUGGUUCAUCUCUGUCUUUAGCUGUUCCUGCUUGCACCAAGUUUGCUGGGUAUAGAUCGCGUUCUUCAUCUGUUGUCAAGUCUCAACAAUAGAGUGUAGACUCUAGUGGGGGACUCGCGGUAACCAAAAGUUUCAGAAGGCGAGUGGAUCACUGAAGAGGAUCUUGACCUCCGCCCUUGUUGAUGCCGUAAAUCUGCCACCCUCUCAUGACCAAUGCUGCUCACUACUGUGAUGAGAUCUUCUUCGAUCAUUUCUACAUGUAGUGGUGUCUCUCCGCUUCAUAUAUGGGAGAGAUCUUUUUGUUUGGCCUUUACGUGUUGGAAAUCGCUUGGAUCUCCCUACUUUCGGCUCCAAUUACCUUUACAUGUUCUGGCUGAAGCUCCCUCUUCCAUUGUUGUCUUGGUCGAGCUAUUGGUGUAUGGAUGUGGCGGAGGCGAAAAGGGAGGGAUGGGUUUUGGGUUGUUCCCUUGAGUGAUCUACCGGUUUCUAUUCGGCCAUGCUCUGGGCCUUAGCCAUUUGAUAUGGGCUGGAUUUGUUUUUUGUAAUUUUAUUGUAAAAUGAUAAACAAACAUAUAUGAUCCAAAUUAAAGAAAACAAUGAACUUGUGCAAAUCUGUGGAAAUGAAUUUUGCUUUAUUACAAGUC